rnacentral:tmRNA from 1 species
GGGGCUGACAUGGUUUUGACAGCAUGAGGGGUGGUAUGCAAGCAUGCAGGAUGUGGUGACGCGUUCCUUGAACAGUGUUAUAAAACAAUAACUGGCGAAUCUAAUUACGCUCUCGCUGCUUAAUUAAUCUCAGAUUAAUGAGCUUUAUCCAGGCACAUGUGCCGGGACGGGACGUCUCCCGGGCGGUCAGGCCCUGAUCCAACCCGAUACGGAGGCGCACGCAAUUCGGGGCUAGUCUGAUGAGGGUCCCUCUCUGAAGGCGAAACACUUAGGGACUAAGGGCAUUUUAGGUUGUUCUGCAGCUGGGAUGCCACGAAAAUCAAGCAGGACUAAGCAUGUAGAAAACAUAUGGUCUCCAUGUUUGGACGCGGGUUCGACUCCCGCCAGCUCCACAA